UACAGAGGUCUCGAGCGUUGUUCGGAUUCAUUGGGCGUAAAGGGUGCGUAGGCGGCGGGGUAAGUCUGAUGUGAAAUCCCGGGGCUCAACCCUGGAACUGCAUUGGAUACUGCCCUUGCUAGAGAGCUGGAGAGGAAACUGGAAUUUACGGUGUAGCAGUGAAAUGCGUAGAGAUCGUAAGGAAGACCAGUGGCGAAGGCAGUGUCCUGGGGAGUACCUGACGCUCAGGUGCGAAAGCCAGGGGAGCGAACGGG
rnacentral:rRNA from 1 species